rnacentral:pre_miRNA from 14 species
AGCUCGAGUUCCAGGAUGGCGUGCCCCAGGAAACACCGAUCCCAGACGAGCCCCCAAAUGAAAGAUCUCCGAAGAGAGAGACCCUUAUUCAAGUCUUGGGAAAUCGCGGACCCCAGAAACAGAGAGACCA